GGUUGCGAUCAUACCAGCACUAAUGCACCGGAUCCCAUCAGAACUCCGCAGUUAAGCGUGCUUGGGCGAGAGUAGUACUAGGAUGGGUGACCCGCUGGGAAGUCCUCGUUGUUGCAACCC
rnacentral:rRNA from 1 species